UGGAGCUUCAUGAACCUUUAUGAUGUGAACAUAUCAUAGUACAGAAAGAACACUUUCACUCAGCUGAGACCAUUCAUCAUGUUCACUGUUAUAUUCAUGUGUCUGUGGCUUUCACUCGGUGACUCCAUGGCAGAUUCAAUCGAGACACAUUUCACUCAUACAGUGAUAGAUGAAGGCAGUGAUGUUACUCUGUCCUGCAGCUACAAAAAAUUCAGUGGUACAGUGACCAACCUGUACUGGUACAGACAAUAUCCAAACUCUAAACCUGAGUUCCUUCUGUAUAUCUUACCAAGUGGACUCCAAAGUGACUCUAACUUACCACGUCUCUCUGCUAAAGUUGAUGAAAAGAAUAAAAAAGUGCAUCUGCUCAUCUCCUCUGCUGCUGUAUCAGACUCUGCACUAUACUACUGUCCCCACAAUAGCUUGGCGAUCUGUCCAAGGUAUACCCCUCCACUGUCAGCUGGUAUUGGCUCCAGCUCACCCGACACCUGCAAUGAAUAA